rnacentral:rRNA from 1 species
UACGGGGGGAGCAAGCGUUGUUCGGAUUUACUGGGCGUAAAGGGCGCGUAGGCGGCCAGCACAAGUCAGUUGUGAAAUCUCCGAGCUUAACUCGGAAAGGUCAACUGAUACUGCGGGGCUAGAGUGCAGGAAGGGGCAACUGGAAUUCUCGGUGUAGCGGUGAAAUGCGUAGAUAUCGAGAGGAACACCUGCGGCGAAGGCGGGUUGCUGGGCUGAUACUGACGCUGAGACGCGAAAAGCGUGGGGGAGCGAACAGG